GUCGCGUCAGGCUUUGACAACCGUACUGUUUACCUGCAAGUUAGCUAUCCUCGGACGUCCACGUGUAGGUCACUAGUGACACAGAUAGAACAUUAACAUAUUUUGUAGUGAUGGGGAACCAAAGCUUCAGUCAAUUGUGUUGAAAAUAGGUUCAUUACCCGUCGCUUUGAUCAACACGUUGUACAAUAGUGGCACUGAUGGUCAAAAUAAUUUAGAACAGCCAAAUUAUUAUAGAUGACGUCGCACACGGCAUAGCGCGUGCGCACGGUAGCCUUUUUGGCUUCUACCAAACCAAUACCAAACUAAUCAGGUGGUUGUUCAACAAAACGAAGAGUCAUUGAUCACGUGUUUCUGAUAAAGCGAUAGCUAGCUACAAGCAUCCGCACACUGAUUCGAAGUAAACUGCUAGCGAAUUCGACGCAUGCCUCGGAGUUCCGGUAUCAAACGUAACAUCACUAGGGUUCAGCAGAAACAGUGGAUACCAAUGCAAAAAAUCUUGGACAGUUGUACCACACAGUUCAUGUCUCCUAGAUUAAUGCUUUCAGACGGAGUCGGGAAUCCGAGAGAGCCGCAUCUGUUCACUGCAAACAGAUGUCUGGCAAAAACGGACUUUUGGAACCACUGUGGGACCUUAUGUAGACAGUCUCAUCCUGGCAUCUUUUCAGAGGCACAAGAUAGAGACAUGAAGCAUGACAGUUUCAUUCCUUUUAUAAAUAUUUUACCAUAAGAAUCUGUCACUUAUUACUUUAAAGAAUGCAGAUACCAUUUCAAAUAUCAACUUGAUUAUAACUCAAAGAUGUCAAAAAGUAUUUUUUAUAUAUUUUGUUGUCAGGAUAUUAGGUUGUUCCCAUUAGUG